rnacentral:rRNA from 1 species
UACGGAGGGAGCUAGCGUUGUUCGGAAUUACUGGGCGUAAAGCGUGCGUAGGCGGUUAUUCAAGUCAGAGGUGAAAGCCCGGGGCUCAACCCCGGAACGGCCUUUGAAACUAGGUAACUAGAAUCUUGGAGAGGUUAGUGGAAUUCCGAGUGUAGAGGUGAAAUUCGUAGAUAUUCGGAAGAACACCAGUGGCGAAGGCGGCUCACUGGACCGGUACUGACGCUGAUGCGCGAAAGCGUGGGGAGCAAACGGG